rnacentral:rRNA from 1 species
CAUUCCGCGGCGUACCGUUGCGUGCCUCGAUGUCAGCGCGGCGCGCGUCUCACGACGCGUCCGGCGCGGGCACUGGUCGCAGGGGUCUCGACGUUCGCGGACGGCGUGCACUUCUCUCUUAGUAUGCGUNCGCUUCGUGCGUCGCAUAUACAUCGCGACCCGUUCGUGGUNNNNNNCGGUCUAAGCAGUCAGUCCGGGNNAGCCGGGCGGCCGUGCGUCUAAACAACGCCGACCGCUCGACCGCGACACUCGCCGGCCGGCGACGGACGGUAUAUAAUUAAUAUAUGUAGGAAUCGCGCACGCGUUUCGNACGCGUCAGGCCCGACGCAAGUGUUCNGCGUCAUCGCCGACGUCCUGCCCGAGCGCGGACGCCGACGUGGCGCCUCUGUUGUCGCAGCCGGUGUCUUCUCUGACUGUGCGCGUGUCCGUCUGC